UUCAGGUUGCAUGGAUUGGCUUGAUUGUGCCAACCUAGUACCUAUCAUGCUUUGCCGGCGAGGCCUAAGCUAAGGAUGAAGGAGAUACAUUUCGUCAACAUUGAAGGAGAAAUCGAUCUAAAGACACAUGUGUUCUUCCUUCGAAAUGCAUCUUGCGAUACGUAAUGUAGAUGUCCUUUGAGCCUACUUUAGAUACUGAACCCAUGAACCGCUUCGUUUCGUUUUUUUUUUUUUUAUGUAGAGACCUAAACAUAUUGGCGGAUCAGGAGCUUUUGGGCUUGGGCAAGAAGGACGAAACACAUGUGACCUCUGUUUCAGCGUUAGGCUGCGCAUUUUUCGGAGGAGCCUCGAACUUCCGUCCGAUAUUGAAUGCACAUGUUUUCAUUCUAUGAACGUAAUUCAAUCGUUUCGGAGAGAAAGAUUGUGUUAAUGAAAUUUUGAGGAAGAGGAGGGCUACAUAUUGACAAAAGAUGGGCGAGCAAAUUAUUUUUUGCUCGUUAUGAUAAUUUAGAAAUUACAAUCCUCGGACGUGUAUUCGCGGCAACCCUGUAAUGGCAAGUGAGGAAUACAAGAAACAGGAUAUUGAUUUUUUAUCAAAAGCUUCAGUCUAUUCUUCUUUCAAAUAUUGUCCAGUCAAGAUUUGAAAUUGAAGUAUUGUUUUUAUUGUGUGCAUUAUCCAGGCUUAAAAGCACGUGAUACGACAAUCGUCUGUAAGAUCUUAGUUUAACUUUUGCCCCGAUGGGUGUAAAUGCAUAUUGCCUCAAGUGACAUGAUUUAAUAAGACGGUUUUUUGUGGUCUGCUAUUUCAUUCCCAAGAAUCAUAUUUUCCAAAACAAACGGACAAAAGUUGCUAUAAAUGGCCAAUCAGUAAAAAAUGCCGAUAUUGGCCAAACGGGCCCAAAAAAACAAAUCACAUUUUCGGGCAUUGAUCAAACUUAACUAUAGCAAAAUACUCAUUGACGAGCCAUAUUUCUAAACUCAAAUUCGUUGGUGGAUACGAUGCUAUAUCAAUACAAAAAUGAGUCAUCAUUUACUCAUAACUAGAGGGCGGUUUUGAAAGCUUUUUAUAUAAUUGGAUGCUUUAGCUGAAAAAGCGUUUUCGGACCAGCUCUUGAAAAAGAAGAUUGGUCAAAAACCAUGGGUAACGAAAUUGACCAACAGGAAAUAACUUGUGCUCAUCACUCUCUGAAGGCCCACAGAUUGUUUAGAAUGAAAUUGAACAAGCUUUAGAGACAUGGAAUUUGGAGCCUUGUGCUUUGGCCCUUGAGAGGCGAAAGAAGUGACCGAGUAAACAACAUCCCGGUUUUGCAACGUCAAAAUAAUGAAGAUAAAUCAAGACUGGUCUCCUCCAGCGAAGAGAGUCUCUCAAGGGAGAACAUGGAACCGGAGAACGAUGGUUGCGAAAACCCUUUUUCCAGAAACUGAGAGAUGGUGCCGUUGUUAAAGAAACAAAAACUCUGAAGCCCUGGGCUUGUAUCCAAAACCUACGGAACAAUAAGAUUUAAAAAAAGCGUUUUUUCCGAGCUCCUGUUAACGAGAGAGCUUCGUGAUUUUGACUAAACGCCACUCUAACAAAUGAAUGACCAUUGUUUCUAUUUGCGUAGUGUGUACUGGUAGUAAAAUAUUUUCGUUAUA